GUCGAGUUGACGAGUCCCAAAUGGGACGAAAUGCGCGUCCUGGAU
rfam:Schistosoma haematobium scaffold2614_1, whole genome shotgun sequence.